UGCAACUGACAUUGAGGCUCGAAAGUGUGGGUAUCAAACAGGAUUAGAUACCCUGGUAGUCCACACGGUAAACGAUGAAUACUCGCUGUUUGCGAUAUACAGCAAGCGGCCAAGCGAAAGCGUUAAGUAUUCCACCUGGGGAGUACGCCGGCAACGGUGAAACUCAAAGGAAUUGACGGGGGCCCGCACAAGCGGAGGAACAUGUGGUUUAAUUCGAUGAUACGCGAGGAACCUUACCCGGGCUUAAAUUGCAGAUGAAUUACGGUGAAAGCCGUAAGCCGCAAGGCAUCUGUGAAGGUGCUGCAUGGUUGUCGUCAGCUCGUGCCGUGAGGUGUCGGCUUAAGUGCCAUAACGAGCGCAACCCUUGUUGUCAGUUACUAACAGGUUCCGCUGAGGACUCUGACAAGACUGCCAUCGUAAGAUGUGAGGAAGGUGGGGAUGACGUCAAAUCAGCACGGCCCUUACGUCCGGGGCUACACACGUGUUACAAUGGGGGGUACAGAGGGCCGCUACCACGCGAGUGGAUGCCAAUCCCAAAAACCUCUCUCAGUUCGGACUGGAGUCUGCAACCCGACUCCACGAAGCUGGAUUCGUUAGUAAUCGCGCAUCAGCCACGGCGCGGUGAAUACGUUCCCGGGCCUUGUACACACCGCCCGUCAAGCCAUGGGAGCCGGGGGUACCUGAAGUGCGUAACCGCGAGGAGCGCCCUAGGGUAAAAUCAAU
rnacentral:rRNA from 1 species